rnacentral:rRNA from 1 species
GUGGGGAAUAUUGCACAAUGGGCGGAAGCCUGAUGCAGCGACGCCGCGUGAGGGAUGACGGCCUUCGGGUUGUAAACCUCUUUCAGCAGGGACGAAGCGUAAGUGACGGUACCUGCAGAAGAAGCGCCGGCCAACUACGUGCCAGCAGCCGCGGUAAGACGUAGGGCGCGAGCGUUGUCCGGAUUUAUUGGGCGUAAAGAGCUCGUAGGCGGCUUGUCGCGUCGACCGUGAAAACUUGGGGCUCAACCCCAAGCCUGCGGUCGAUACGGGCAGGCUAGAGUUCGGUAGGGGAGACUGGAAUUCCUGGUGUAGCGGUGAAAUGCGCAGAUAUCAGGAGGAACACCGGUGGCGAAGGCGGGUCUCUGGGCCGAUACUGACGCUGAGGAGCGAAAGCGUGGGGAGCGAACAGGAUUAGAUACCCUAGUAGUCC